AACAAAGGUACAAAUAGAAAUGAGUGUUCCUGGAAAGGCCACGGCCUUAAGUUGGAUCCCCUAGAAGCAGAGCCCGAGACAGGUAUUCUUGUUUAAGAGGUUUACUGGGAGAACACUCCCAGGAGAAGGGGAGAGAGGGAAGUGGUAUAGGGCAGAGGAGAAAAGGCGAGCAAGAGUGUGGUCGGCUCCAGCGUCUGGCUCCCAUCUGCUCUCGUGGGAAUGUUCUGGAGCACAAAGCGUGCCAUCUCACAGUAAGCGACUGGGGCUGUUGUACCCGAAUGUCAAUCCGUUAUUGGUUGAGGUCUGCGGACAGGUGGAACGGAAGAAGGAGGAAGGAGUGGUAUAGCCUCUCUGGUGAGGGCUCUCCUGUUGCUUCAGGGCAAUUCUGUGGAGAAGACGGCAGCAGAAUUUUGUCAGCAAUAUUCACACCGGGUAGGGAAGGGGGCACCAGUGGGACCCACUAUAAUCCACUCUUUCCCUAGAAAUAAUAAGCUGAAGCUGUAUCUUCAGAUCUGUGCAGGAUGGAAAAUGAUGCAUAGGGAGUUUAAAAAAAGAAGAAAACAAUGGUAGCCUUACCAUUUGUGCAGAAUUAAAAGUCGUAAAGGUCACAUACAUCUCAUAAACAUUACUCACCAUUCCAGCGACGAAGCACUAGAACUGCUCUCAGCCUUUCCACACAUAUAUCGUACAUUUCACACUGCCAUCAAAGAAUUAAUAUCCUUAAUAUAUAAAGAACUCCUACAAGUCAAUAAAAGUGAAGACCCUCAUAAUUAUGUAGGUAGAAGAUAUUAAUCAAUGAUCUACCAAGGGGGGAAUACAAAUAGCUAACAGAUAUUUAAAAAUUUUUUUCAACCUUGCUGAUAAAGAAACACAAAGGAAAGGAAUAUACAAAUUUUCACCUAUCAAAUUACAAAGACUUUACCAUAAAAGCACAUACAGCUGGCAAGGAUAAGGAGAGAUGGGUGCUCUCUACACAGCAGGUGGGAACGUAGAUCAGUCUAGCCAUUCUCAGAAAAUAAUUUGAUAAUGUGUUUCAUGAGAUUUAAUAAUGUUUAUUUUUUUUCAAUGUUUAUUUUUGAGAGACAGAGAGAGAGAGAGAGACAGAGUGCAAGCUGGGGAGGGGCAGAGAAAGAGGGAGACACAGAAUCCAAAGCAGGCUCCAGGCUCUGAGCUGUCAGCCCAGAGUCCGACAUGGGGCUGAAACCCACGAACCGUGAGAUCGUGACCUGAGCCCAGGUUGGCCGCUUAACUGACUGAGCCACCCAGGUGCCCCUAAAAAUGUUUAAAUUCUUUGAUUUGCCCUUCUACUCCUCCUUAGAGUCAUUCUAAGGAAAUAAGCCGAAUAUUUUGCUGUUAUACACAGUAGUCCCCCCUUAUCCAUGGUUUUACUUUCCACAGUUUCCGUUACCCAUGAUCAACCACAGUCUGAAAGCGGAUGAUCCUCUUUCUGAUGUGUCUUCAGAAGGUCAAGAGUAGCCUUGUGCAGCGUCACUAUGCCUUCAUCAUCCCCCUUAGCACAAUAUUAUCUUGAGAGAGAGAAACCACAUUCACGUGACUUUUAUAACAAUAUGUUGUUAUAGAUGCUCUAUUUUAUUAGUCGUUGUUGCUAAUCUUGUACUGUGCCUAAUUUAUAAAUUAAACAACAUCAUAGGUGUGUAUAUACAGGAAAAAAACCCUAUAAACAUAGGUUUAAAUAUACAGGUUUGUAUGUUUAUAUAUGGUUCAGUACUAGCUGUGGUUUCAGGCACCCUUGGGGAUCUUGGAACGUACCCCCAUGGAUGAGGGAGGACUACUGUCAUGGGGUAGAGAAAUUGCUAUAUGUUAGGCAUUGUGCAUGAAUAUGCAUUAUUUAUGAAUUAUUCGCAUUAGUCAUACUGCAUUAUCAAUAUGAAUUAUUUUAUUUAAUCGAUACAAUUGUCUUAUCAAUCAGGUAGGUACUUUCACGAAGUGUUUCUUUACAGGAGAGGAAACCAAAGCCUAAGGAAGUUAAGUAAAGGUUAACUGCGAAGAAGGAGGGAAGCUGGGAUGAUCUGAGUCUGGUGUAUGAGCUCUUAAUACCUUUACUUCCUCUAGGGACUCAUUAAUACACAGGUCCAGGAAGAGGGUGAAAGACUAUCUUUUUUACAAAAUAAUUAAGUCAGGCAAAUUGUUCCUUGCUCCAUUGAUCAGAGAACCUCCGUGUUUCUAAUUAAACCAGAGAGAUUUAAUUAGGGUUCCUGGGCCUGUCACCUAGUCCUUUGGAAAGUUUUGUGAUGAGUUUUACAUAAAAGUAUCAAACAGUCCUAGGUUCCUGUGUAGAAUGGUGAAGUCAGCUACUGGAUUUGGCACCUUUUUAGGUCGGGAGAGCUGUGAGCUAACAGAGGUUUGUAACAACAAGCCGUUGCUGCAGCAAUCAAUUGUUUAUACUCACUUGGUUGCCAGUGUCUCCCCUGAAAGUGCGAGCUCUCUAAAAGCAGGGAUCGAGUCUGUCUCAGUCAUUAGAAUAAGCUUGAAGGUGAAAAUGGACUGUGGGAGAGCUUCCUGCGGUGUUUGCUAAGCUCUCGUGUGUAUAAGAAGACAUGUCACAAGAAUGGUUAUUAAGUGGCAUUGUUGGCAUUUGUAAAACAUUUGCAAGGACAUCUGGAUUGUUUCUAGUUUUUGACGAUUUACAAACACGCUGCUGUAAACAUCUAUGGGCAGGUUUUUACAUAAUGGACAUAAGUUUUUGUUUUUCUGGAAUAAAUGCCUGGGAGUGCUAUUGCUGGUUUGUAUGGUAGUUGCCUGGUUAAUUUUUUUUUUUUUUUAAACUGCCAUCCCGUUUUCCAGCGUGGAUGUGCUAUUGUACAUUCUGACCAACAAUGCAUGAGUGAUCAGUUUCUCAGAAUCCUUCCCAGCAGUUGGUCUUGUCUCUGUUCUAUUUUAGCACAUUGGAAUAGAUUUGUAGCGGUAUCUCCCUGUGGUUUUAAUUUGCAUCUCCCUAAUGGCUGACAAUGUUAAAAAUCUUUUCAUAUGCUUAUUUACCAUCUAUAGAUCGUCUUCGGUGAAAUGUCUCUACACACAUUUUUGCUACUUUCUAGUUAGAUUGGUUUUUAUUUUGACUUUCAAAUUUCCAGCGAUAUGUAUCUAGCCCUUUGUCAGAUACGUGGUUCGCAAACAUUUUCUCCCAGACCAUAGUCAGUCUUUUUCUUCUCUUCACAGGGUCUUUCAUGGAGCAAAAAAAAAAAAAAAAUUAAUAUCUAUAAAAUAUAUUCUUUCCAUUUUUCCCUUUAUAGAUCUUGAAUGUUUUUUUACCCCUAUGUUUCCCCCCCAAGAUUUAUAGCUUUACAUUUUAUAUUAAAGUGUGUAAUCCAUUUGAGUUAAUUUUUGUAGAAGGUGUGAGACUUAGGUUGAGGUCCAUUUUUUUCUGCUACUUGGAUGUUUAAUUACGCCAGCACCAUUUGUUGAAAGGGCUAUUUUUCUUCCAUUGGGUGGCUGUUGUAUUUGGGUGUAUUUGUGUGGGUCUAUUUCUGAGCUCCCUCUUCUGUUCCACUGAUUUAUGUGUUUGUCCCUCCACCAAUGUCACACGGUCAUGAUUACUGUAGCUACAGAAUAAGUCUCAAAAGCGGGUAGUCUGAUUCCUCCCACAUUCUUCUUUUUUGAAAUUGUCUCAGCUAUUCUAGUUCCUUUGUUUCCGUAUACAUUUUAGAAUAAGCUUCUCUAUAUCUACAAAAAGUCUAGCCAGAACUUAGACAAGAAUCCCAUUACACGUAUAGAUUAAUUCGUGAAGAACUGACAUCUUUACUGUGUCAAAUCUUCCAAUCCAUGAACUCCGUAUGUCUCUCAUUGAUCUUGAGUUCUUUCAUCAUCAUUUUGUAAUUUUUAUUUUUUUAUUAAAAAAUUUUUUUAAUGUUUUUUUUUUAUUUAUUUGUGAGACAGAGAGAGACAGAGCAUGAGCAGGGAAGGGGCAGAGAGAGAGAGGGAGACACAGAAUGUGAAGCAGGCUCCAGGCUCUGAGCUGUCAGCACAGAGCCUGACGUGGGGCUCAAACUCACAGACUGUGAGAUCGUGACCUGAGUUGAAGUCGGACGCUUAACCAACUGAGCCACCCAGGCACCCCUAAAAAAUUUUUUUAAAUGUGUAUUUUUGAGAGAGAGAGAGAGAGCGUGAGUGGGGGAGGAGCAGAGAGAGAGGGAGACACAGAAUCUAAAGCAGGUCCAGGCUCUCAGCUGUUGGCACAGAGCCUGACACGGGGCUCGAACCCAUGAACCUGAGAUCAUGACCUGAGCUAAAGCCAGAGGCUUAACUGACUGAGCCACUCAGGCGCCCCAAUCAUUUUGUAAUUUUUAGCAUACAAGUCUUCUACAUGUUUUGUUAGAUUUCCACCUAGGCAUUUACUUUUUGAGUAAAUGGUAUUUUUCAUUUGUUAGCGCAUACAAAUAUAAUUGAUUUAAGUAUGUUUAUAUUUGAUGACCUUUCUGAACUCAGUUAUUUUAGGAGUUAAAAAAAAUUUUUUUUUGAGGAUUUUGGGGAUUUUCUACAUAGACAAUUACAUCAUCUGAGAGCAGGGAUAGUUUUACUUCCUCCUUUUCUAUCAAUAUGCUUUUUAUUUCCUUUUCUUGCCUUAUUGCACUAACUAAAAGUCCCAGCAAGCUACUGAUUAAGAAUGGAAAGAACAAGAGAACACGCAUCCUUGCCUUGGUUCUGACCUUAGGGAGAAAGCACUCAAUCUUUCCUCAUUAAGUAUAAUGGUAGCUGUCGGAUUUUUUUGUAGAUGAUCUUUGACCAAUUAAGACGUUUCCUUCUACUCCUAUUUUUUUUUCUGAGAGUUUUAUCAUAAGUGAGUGUUGAAUUUUGUCAAAAGACUUUCCCCAUUGAUUGAUACGAUCAUAUGAUUGUCCUUCUUUAGCCUAACACAGUAGAUUUUUGAACACUGAACCAUUUUUGCAUCCCUGGAAUACAUGUUACUUGGUCAUGGUGUAUAAUUCUUUCUUUAUAUGUCCUGGAUUCUAUAUGCUGAUAUUUUGUUAAGGAUUUUACAUCUAUAUUCAUAAGGCAUAUCGAUCUGUGGUUUUCUUUUUUUAGGAUUGUCUUUGCCUGGUUUUGGUAUCAGGGUAAUAUUAGCUUCAGAAAAUGAACUGAGAGGAACUCUAUCCUCUUCUAUUUUCUGAAAGAGUUUAUGUAGUACUAGUGUUAAUUCUAAAUUAGACCUUUAGUAGAAUUGUCCAAUGAAAGCAUCCGAGGCUAGCUAUUUGCUUUUGAAGAGUUUAAAUGGAUCCAAGUUCAUGAAUAGACAGGAUUAUAGAGGAAGUGAAAAGAUUGCCGAGGGUCAGAGAUGUGAGAGGAGAAAGGGAAGGGUGGUUAGGGGGAGCAGGUAGGAAUUUUAGUGCAGUGAAACCAUUCUACAUGAAACUAGCAUGGUGGAUACGUGUCGUCAUCCAUUUGUCAAAGCAUGUACAACACAGGAAGUGAACUCUGAUGCAAACCACUCACUUUGGGUGAUGGUCAUGUCCCCACGUAGGUUCAUCACUGUAACACAGGUACCACUCUGGUGGGCGAUGUUGAUGAGGGUGGUGGGCUAGGCUUGGAUGUGUGUGGCAGGAGUAUGUGGGAACUCUACAUCCUGCUCAGUUUUGUUGUGAAGCUGAAACUGCUCUCAAGAAUAGACUCUUAAUUUAACCCCCCCCCCCGAGUCUGUGUGGUUACAAAAUGGGCACCUUAUCUGCCAUUGUCCCCAUCGCCAUUCAGCCUGUGACGCCUGUUGUACCUGUAUUCAGCUGCCCACACAUAGACUCCUUGGGUCUUCUUUCUGUAGGCCAUUUUGCCUAAGCCUGAGGCUGCCCUCCGCUGACUCCUCUGACCUGCUAUUCCUGCCAUCUCCCUCUUCCCUGUGACUUAGCAGGUCUUGAGCCUGGGGAUCCACCGGCUUGAGUGACAACCUCCCUAAGCCCCAUUUCCUCCUCUGUAUACGACGGGGGAUACCUGAGAUGAGGAUGCAAGGUACCCAGGGUGCUGCCGGGAACAAGGUAGGAUUUCUUCCCUUUCCUUCCUCCUCUCUCCAUGCCGCUGCUGAGGGUGCUGUGGAAAGGCAGCCCUUUCAGAGUAAGAUGGAGGGACACCCAGUGAGGGAGAGAGUGAGGAAUGGGGACCCUCUGGGACCUGCAAGCAGCCGCCGGGCAACCAGCACCCUUCCCCACAACGGACGCACAUCUCAAGAUAGGUUUGUUUCUCGGGUCCCCAGAGGGUGGGGGUGGGAGCAGGGAGCACAUGGGGUUAUGGGGGAAGGAUGUUGUUUUUCAACAGACAAGAGUGACUCCAUUUCCGAUUCUCACAGGCGACCUGAAUGCCCGUCACAUCAGGCAGGGAGAGCUGCCCAGAUCUGACACUAUCCCCUUGUAGCAGCGGCUGGCAGGCCCCAAGGGGCGAGAGGGGAUGCCUGCGGGCUGGUGGAGGCUGAAUGAAUUUAGUGCCUGUGAAUGAGGCGGGAUUGGCAGCCCUUGAGACAAACUCCCUCUUUGUCCCUGAGCUGUACCUCCCAGACGAGGGCAAUGCCAACUUUCUUCGCUCCAUCCUGUCCACAUUCUUUGGCCCAACUCAGCUGUGAGGAGAGGCACAGAGGCUCCCAUGUUUUAGGUCCCCAAAAGAAUCCGUUAAUUUGCGCCUCGGAGACCCGCAAGCAGCCUGCAGCCUGCGUGGCUGGAGUCACAGAGCCGACAGUUGCCAAGACAGCAGUUCUCGAACAUUUCUGACUGUAGCCCACGGUGAGAACUGAAUUUCGCGUCAUGACCCAGGGACACACACAGGCAUGCACGUUCAUGUACGUCCUCACACAGAGUUUAGACAUGGGAAAAAGGAAGCGGAAUAGUGCAGGAAAGACGGAUUUUAUUUUGUGCAUCUUGUUUCUGUGCGCACGUGCGUGUGUGGUCGCGAUAGAAAUCAUAUUUCUGGCUGUGGAUGGUGUUAAGAAAAGACCGAGAAACACUUGUGUAGAUCACGCUUUCCCCAACUCUAUAUUAAACCGCCAGCUCGGAGGGUGACGAAACAUGUUAGCAUAUUAAAGACCCUGGAGAUUCCUGCAGGAAAGAGAUUUGUUGGCUUUGCUGACCAAGUGCAUGAAUUGUCUCCCUCCUUUCCCUGAAUGCUUACGCUACUAUCUCACGGAACCAGUAUUUCACCGAACGUAGGCCUGGAAGGAAUUUGAACAGUCCUCUAGAAUUUCCUCAGGGGUGUUAGUUGCAGGGUAAGAGGGCGUCUGCCUCAGCAAGAACAGAGCUGGUAAGUCAGAUCAUUGGUUUCCAAGUAAGAUUUUGCUUGAAAAAGUCCUCUUGCCGAAAAUGUUUACAAACUACAAGUCUAGUCCAAAUCUCUCAUGGGAAACGGAGGCCCAAAGAAGGGAAGUGACUAGAGCAGGCCACCUGGGGGGGGUCCUGUUAGAGUUGGGACCCCCUUUUACUGAGUUCUUUUUUUUUUUUUUUAAUGUUUUAUUUAUUUUUGAGAGAGGGAGAGAGAGACGGAGCAGGAGCAGGGGAGGGGCAGAGAGAGACACACACAUAGAAUCUGAAGCAGGCUCCAGGCUCUGAGCUGUCAGUACAGAGCCCAACGUGGGGCUUGAACCCACAAACCGCGAGAUCAUGACCAGAGGCAAAGUUGGACCCUUAACCGACUGAGCCGCCCAGGAGCCCCUGCUGAGGUCUUAACUGUAAAUCUUCUGACUCUACCUCCAGGGUGAGGUAAACACUGGUGCAGGGGGGCUGGAGGUCUAGGUUCUGGGGGCAGUGGGGGGCGGGCAUCAGAGGGCUUGGCCUUGUCCCUCUUCCCUUGCUCCGUUGCUGACCUUUUGAGAAUGGUUUGACUUCUCCAUGUUUGAGCUUUCUCAUCUGUAAGAUGGUGAGUAAAGAUACUACCUUAAAAGUGAGAUAAUUUGUGGCACUUUGGAAAGACAGGUAUUGUAUAAUAAAUAUAAGGAAAUUAUUUAUUUUUUCUAAGCCUCAGAAAGGAAAUUCUAUAGUACUAACCAGGAAGUUUGUCGACUCAUCGUACUGUAACUUAAUGAAAACUUUGUUGUCCAGUUCUAAGAAAAGUUGCUCAUUACUAUGUUAAAAAAACAAGGAUGUUUAGAAACUCCUCUUUUGUCCAAAUAAAAAUUAUUGUUUUCCCAGAGGUGACUUUGCCUAGAUUGUAUUCAAACUAGCAAAGAAUGUCUACUCCUUGUCCAUGGGGGUUUAAAGUGAAGUUGUUUUACAUCCAAUAGCGUCUUUAAACAGUACUGUUCAUUCAGCUUUUGUUGGACAGAUAUAUGUUUGAAUGGUGUGUGAUUGCUUGUACUUCCGAUCGUCUCUCUGUCCCCUGCCACCCUGCUCCUUGUCCCUGGAAGCUAUUUUCAAGAGACUCCAUCAAUGGUUUUCCUGCCUUUGGCACCUGGUUGAGGUCGGCCUAAUGGAAGCCUGGCAGGAGCUCAGAGGGCAGAGGAGAGCGGGUCUGGGGUAUUUGUUCCUUGCCUGCUUCCUUGUACUGAGGGCCACAGCUCCCUGCUGUGUAGGGUCCAUUACCCACUCCCUCCUCUGGGUCUGGCCUGGGGUAAAUGUCCCGUAGACUGAUCCUCUAUUCCACUCUGAUUAUACUUCUGAAAUUCCUUUAUUAACUCUCUCCAACUGACCCAAUUUGAGUGAGACGUCUAUUUUCUGCCGAGACUUUGACUUUCACCUUGUUUCAUAUACACAUUCUCGUGUUUCACAUUUUCUUGCCUUUUUCUGUUCAGUGUCACAAAAUGUGCGAAAGUAUAGAAGACUCAAAUUUUUCUUUCUUGUGUAUCCUUUGUGUUGAGAGGCAGGAGUAAGCAGGACAUCACCCUGGGGUGCUUUCAAAAUCACUGAUGCCUGAACCUCCCCCAGAGAUUCUGAUCACUGGGUCUGGAUGGGGACCCAGUGUCCUGUUACCAGGAUCUCUAUCUCUGUGUGGGACCCACAGACGUAGGGAAGGAAGUCUGGCUCUGUAAUUUGUUUCUGCCAGGUCUGCUCGCUGGGUCUUAGUGCCGUGUGUGUGUGUGUGUGUGUGUGUGUGUGUGUGUGUGUUGGCACCUCCACUCUCUGACCCUGGAUCUUAUAUUGCUUUUUCUAAUGCUGAUUGCAGCAGCUGAUGGUCUGAACCAAAGGUCCACACCGCUGCCCUCUUGUGGACGUGGGCACAGCUGUGUCGGCGGGCCGAAGUGGCCGCCUGUAGCAUUUUCUUCUUGCCACCCACCGUCAGGACGGAAUAGGGUUUCAAGACGCAGUUCAGUCAAGAGUAGGAGGAGGCUGCCCAUAACCACUCCCAGAAGAUACUAUGUCCUGUUCUCUAACAGCCUUUGGUAAAGAGCUCCUCUUAAUUCCUGUGCAUUCUUCUUUUAACAGUUUAUUAAUUUGUUUAGGAUUAGCUCUCCCUGAGGAGGGGUGGGGUGGAUUAAUCGCCGUGCAGAAAGGUAGAGCGUUUAGGAGACAAUUGAAAAGGGCCACAGAUGAGCCUCUGGGAGGCAGAGUCUGCAGAUCAGAGUGAACGAGUCCGGGGACAAGGGAGUUUGCUGUGAUUGGCCAAGCUGCUGAAAUGUACCCGCCCUCCUCCCUGGAGCCUCUUCCUGUGCCUUGUCUAACUAUCACCUGGAAAUUCCCUCCUCUGGCUUCAGCCUCCUCUUGCCCAGGUCUCCUGAACUUGUCAGUUCCUGCCUCUAAGCACGCUCCUGGCCUGUUUUCUGCCACACACCUGUCCCUCUGUCCCCUUCCAUCCAGUAGAUGUCCACUGGCCCCUUCAUAAGAGAGUUGGUAGCAAUCCGUUAACUGUUUCCCAUCAAACAAUUCAUGUGAUAUAUUGCGCAUUAAUUACUAGAAUGCUUUAGAUCAUAUUAUCAUUGUUAGCAGUGAUGUAAGAGGAAAUAUGCGUUAGUGAUUAGUCUAUUUUGUAUCAAAUAAUUUUUAUUAAUUUCUUGAGGGCAGAUCUAAGAAAAAAAAGGAUAACUGUGCUCUUAAGAAGUAGAUGUAAUUUUGACCAUUUAAACUUACAUUAAACAGGGGCGCCUGGGUGGCUCAGUUGGUCAAGCGGCCGACUUUGGCUCAGUCUGUCAUCUCAAAUCUCGUGAGUUCGAGCCCCGCAUCAGGCUCUGUGCUGACACCCUGGAGCCUGGAGCCUGCUUCAAAUUCUGUGUCUCCCUUGCUCUCUGCCCCUCCCCUGCUUAUGCUCUGUUUCUCUCUCUCUCUCAAAAAUAAAUAAACAUUGAAAUAUUUAUAAAUUUACAUGAAACAAAUUUUUGUGCCAUAUUUGGAGAACUCUUACCAUGAUUUUGGGUUAUCCUUGCUGUCUGCCGUCACUCGUGUGCUACCAUUAUCUGGGUUAAUGUGAGCCCGCUCACUUGUUCAGUAGUGUUUUUUGAGCACUGACCCUGUGCCAGGCACUGUUGUAGGUUCCAGGGAGGGAGCAAGGAACAAAACCGUCUCUUUUCUCAGAUUCUGAUGGGAAGUUAACGUAUAUAUAUUUGCUUCAACAGUUCCUUCUCAAGUUUUGGAACUAGGACCAAUCCCUCAAGCUCCUUUUUUUGAGGGGGGGGUUGGUGUCAAUUUUUGGGAAUACUUCGCUCUUUAUUGGCAACUUCUGGCGAUGGAAUUUGAUGAACUGUUCACAAUCUAGCAAUUUUUCUAGUAGCUGAGAUCGCAGUAGGAAGAGGAGAAAGGGUUGGACGAGUUUUCAUGGGGCCACUGGCUUUUGCACAAAGCUGUGGGUGUGAGUUGGGCUGCAUCGAGCAUGGCGGUCCACACCUUGGGCCCUGCAGACACAGAUCUGGCUCCAAAUUCUGGUUUUGCCACAUAUGUAUGUAUAACUGCAUGACUUUGGGCCGUUCACAACCUUUCUGAGGCUCAUUCUGUGCCGGCUCCCAACCCUACCUCCCACAGAGGAGAAAAGUGAUAAUAAUCUACCUAAGUGGCUCUUGGAGUGAUCAUUAGGUGAGAUUAUAUAUAUAUAUAUAUGUAUGUGUGUGUAUAUUUAUGUUGUGCUUAGUGUAGCGAGUGUCUGGAACAAAGCUCAAUAUGAUAGCUGUCACUACUAAGUAUAAUUUAGUGUUUCUUCCUCCCUACCACAUUUACUGAGGUAUGAUUAACCAAUAAAAACUGGAUAUAUUGAAGACGUACAACAUGAUGUUUUGGUAUGCGUAUACAUAGUUCAAUGAUUGCUACAACUAAGCUAAUUAACACAUCCACUAUCUCACGUAAUUGCUAGUGUGUGUGUGUGUGUGUGAUAAGAACACUUGAGAUCUACUCUCUUGGCAGAUUUCAAAAAAAAAUUCUUUAAUGUUUAUUUUUGAAGGAGAGAGAGAGAGACAGAGAGAGACAGAGUGUGAGCGGGGGAGGGUGAGAGAGAGACAGAAUCCAAAGCAGGCUCCAGGCUCUGAGCUGUCAGCACAGAGUCCGACGUAGAGCUCAAACGGGAAUGGUGAGAUCCUGACAUUAUGGGGACUUCUAGAUUAAUUGCAUUGUAGUUAGAGAAUAUAUUCCACAUAGUCUGGCAAGUGCUGAGACAAGGGAAAUACAGGUUGACACUGGUGUGUAGAGCAGGGACACCUGACAGUCUAGGCAGGCUACCUGGAGGAGGAGUGACUAUUAAGCACAACACUGAAGGAUGAGUAGGGCCCUGGUAGAAAAGGCGUAUAUGUAUGCUUAUGUGUGUGCUGGGAAUAUAGCAGCAGAGGGACCUCAGUCUUAUGGGGGAGACCCUUACUUGGACAGGACAGGUUCAAUGUAAUGUCGUAAAUGUCAUGACCGAGGGAAGCCUUGAAACUUUGGGAUUGUGGCAAAGUAUAGCGGUUCUGUUUCAUGAAGUUACGGAUAGGUAAAGCUAAAAGGUAUGGUCAAGUUUGUUGGGGUCAGCCCUGGGUUCGGAUACUCUUUUGCCUCUGAAUAAUUUUACCACCGUCUAGAUAUUAAAAUUCUUAAAGCCUCAGUUUCCUCAUCGAUGCACCAGGGGGUACAAAUAUCCCCGCCUGGCGGGAUCGACACGACGCUAUCUGAGAUUCAUCAGAUACAAUCAAGCAAUUAGCAAAAGGCUGGUGUCAGGGCUCUGUGAUCGGGAGUGGUUUUAAUCCCUGGGUGUGAGUUCUUAUGAUGUCACUCUGGGUGCCUGGCCCUCAGAGGAACUCUGAGGUCCCUCUGUCACUGCAGAAUACCCAGGAGGCAGCGGUGGAGAGGACAAGAACAGCCAGGAGCCCCGACCGGACGGAGCCCACGAGCACGGUGUGCUGUGGCCAAGGCAGAGCCGCAUGCACAGAGCGCCUGGCCUGGAAGACUGGCCUAGAAGCUUGUCCAGAUUCAGCAGAAAGAGCAUUCAGAUCAGUGCUGUCUGCCCUGAGUGACAGGGGAGGGUGGCAUGUGGGUCAUGUAUUUUCUACCCCUGGAACUUGGCAGGAACACCUAAUACUUGUUGCAUGCUUAUUUUUUUUUACCACACACCACGCUAAAUUCUUUACGCGACUUGUAUCCUUUAACGCUCUUAACCCUAUAAGGCCGGGACUCUUACUAGUCUUAUUUUACAGAUGCGGAAUCUGGCACAGAGAGGGUAAGUAACUUGCCUUCUGUCUCACAGUCAUUGGUUGUGGCUCGUCUCUGCCACGUUUCACAGUCUAUUGAGACUGGAAGCUCUUUGAAAGGAGGGGCACGAUUGUAUCUAUUUUGGACCCUCCGUGGCCUCCUAGGUGUUUGGAUGGUUUUCAUUGCUACACUGAACUCAGUGGUUCUCGCUGGACACACGGUCGCUUGGGAUGUUUCAAAAGCUUCUCGCAUCUGGGCCCAACCUCAUAUUACUUGCAUCUGGGUCUCUGAGGUUAGGGCCUGGGCAUCUGUGCCUAGGGAGUCUCAACAAAGCUGAGAAACGUUGGGCUAAAUAAAAUUCUUUGUCAAACUGCAAGCUUUUCUUCCCGCCUGUUGGCACUGGGGGGUGCUGUGGGAUAGUCUAAAAAAAAAAAUAGUAUUUCCUUUAACCCAAGGAACACAUUUCUUUUUGUUUGCAAAUUUGUUUUGUGUAUCUCCUCUCAGGGGCUUGGUAGAAAGCUUGUCAAGACAGGUAAUGGCCUGAACUAGCCUCUCUGUGGCUCUUUUGAAGGUGGACCACUGAAAUUGAAGCAGGCAGACCUAGAAAAUUUCUGCAGUCUGCAGUUCGUUUUGUUUUCAGCCUUCCUUCAGGAGCAGUUGGUCUGUGCUCAGGACGAAGAGGUUUGCAAGGAAUCACUUGAGGUGUGGCAGGCUGAACAGCCACCCGGAAGGUGUCCCUGUCUAAUCCCCAGGACCCGAGACUCUAUGACCUUACAUUGCGAAGGGAGAU
rnacentral:lncRNA from 1 species